UACAGAGGGUGCUAGCGUUGUUCGGAAUCAUUGGGCGUAAAGGGCGUGUAGGCGGUUUGUUAAGUCAUGUGUGAAAUCCCUCGGCUCAACCGGGGAACGACGCAUGAGACUGGCAAGCUAGAGUACCAAAGAGGGGGGUGGAAUUCCCGGUGUAGCGGUGAAAUGCGUAGAUAUUGGGAGGAACACCAGUGGCGAAGGCGGCUCACUGGACCGGUACUGACGCUGAGGCGCGAAAGCGUGGGGAGCAAACAGG
rnacentral:rRNA from 1 species